UUCGGAUUCUGUGUCUCCCUCUCUCUGCCUCUCCCCUGCUCUCUCUCUCUCUCUCUCAAAAAUAAACAUUAAAAAGAGAUAAACUUCUUGUCACUUCCAGUUGGAACCCCUCAACUCACUCUGACCACACACCCUAACCGAAAGCCACCUCCUUGCUUGGGACUCUACAGUUGUAUCCGUCCCUCAUGCCUGUUCCCACUCUUUAUGGAAGACUCCAGCUUUACUUCUCAGAUCGUCACUGUCUGGGUGGCCCCACUGCAGUAAACUGGGCCUUGGCCCUCAGAUCUAACAUAAAGGUUUUCCCUUCCGUAUGAGCGCACAACUCAGUAUGAGUCGACAGGUUAAAAAAAAAAAAAAAACACACAUGUGGUACUCAGUUUAUGUACAGCACAAAAGUCUCUUCCGUGAUAGAAAACAAUAAUCUUAAAAAUAUGGUUACAAUAGGGGCACCUGACCGGCUCAGUCGGCAGAGCCUGCGACUCUUGGUCGCAAGAUUGUAAGUUCGAGCCCCAUGUUGGGUGUAGACAUUACUUAAAAAUAAAAUCUUAAAAAAUAUAUAUGGUUACUGUAGCCCUAGAAGAAGGGGAAAAAAAACUCCACCUUAAGCUCCUUGCUAAGUGCCUGCUGCAUGACUUAUUAAAGUGUUGCAGGAAUCCCAUUAAUGUCAAUAUGAAAAUUCCUUUCUUCAGAGCAUUCGUGUAAGAAUAGCAACAAACACUCAGCAUUCAUUUACGAAGAUUUUAAGCUGCGAGCAACACCAUCCUUUAAGCCGAUCCAGUUGCACGGGUGCUCCCAAAGCCAUGCUAAGAUCGUCUCAUCAGGAUUCACUAGGCCUGAGGAUUUUCUGUGUUAAAAGGCGUCACCCCGGAACGGGCCAAUAGUCAAAACGGUUUGAUGCACUUUCCGCACUGCAUUAGUAUCUGCUAUCGUGGAGCUCUGGAACGCCACCUGCCUCUGCUUCCUCUGGGUCCUCACACCUUGGUGGGGCAAUUUGGUCACUGAAUGCAGGUCCCCAGCAAGGGAUCUCUUGGCGACGCUUAGGAUGAAAACAGCAGGGGCUGAUUGAAGAUGGUUUUUGCGUCACGGCAAACAGCCUUGAGGGAUGAGGUGAUGUCUCCCCCCACACAGACAAGGCUUGUUUCCACUUGCUGUCCUACACUGGAGUCCACUGCGUGCGCCAACACCCAUGAUAAGUCUGCUGCAUCACCUCCGUGGGACUUCGGGAGCGUGGGAAACCAGCACGGGCACUCGGCAGAUCCCCUGGAAGUUGCUUUGCUGGGAGUAAUAAGGUCAUUUUCUCAGACUCGGGAAUCUUGUGUCUUUUGCCAAUAUCGGCGAAGCAGUAACAAGUUAACUUUUUAGCCUAUACCUAUGGUAAACUCUCAGAGCUGGUAGAAUUCUUGACAUCACCCUGUGUUUUCAUUUCCUUACCAGCGACUUCCAAAGAGCACAGGUUUUUCAUUUUGAUAAAGUCUAAUCUACCAAUUGUUUCUGUCUAAUCUACCAAUUGUUUCUUUUGUGGAUCAUACUUUUUUUUUUAUUUUUUUUUCAACGUUUUUUAUUUAUUUUUGAGACAGAGAGAGACAGAGCACGAA